GUGGGGAAUCUUGGACAAUGGGGGCAACCCUGAUCCAGCAAUGCCGCGUGGGUGAAGAAGGCCUUCGGGUUGUAAAGCCCUUUCGGCAGGGAAGAAAUCGGCGGGGCGAAUAACCCUGCUGGAUGACGGUACCUGCAGAAGAAGCACCGGCUAACUACGUGCCAGCAGCCGCGGUAAUACGUAGGGUGCGAGCGUUAAUCGGAUUUACUGGGCGUAAAGCGUGCGCAGGCGGCCCGUUAAGACAGGUGUGAAAUCCCUGGGCUCAACCUAGGAAUUGCGCUUGUGACUGGCGGGCUCGAGUACGGUAGAGGGGGGUGGAAUUCCUGGUGUAGCAGUGAAAUGCGUAGAGAUCAGGAGGAACACCGAUGGCGAAGGCAGCCCCCUGGGCCUGUACUGACGCUCAUGCACGAAAGCGUGGGGAGCAAACAGG
rnacentral:rRNA from 1 species